AAUUAUCCUGGAUCACCAAUGCAUAGCAAUUUCCUCUAGAGCUUCUUGGUAGCUUCCCUAUAACAUCAAUGCUUAUUUCAUGGCCCACGCCUUUUUCUGGUUUUGAGGUGAAGUAACCGAAAUUUUUCCGGUUUCUAGGCUUUAUCCGUUGACAAGUUUCGCAUGAGCGAACCCAGUCAUGGACAUCGUCCCGCAUUCCUCUCCACCAAAAAGUAUUUGAAAUGCGCUGGGCUGUUUUUUGAACACCAAAGUGACCACCAACAAGUGAAUCAUGGCAGAUCUGCAAAACAGCUUUCCUCAUGUGAUCAGGAAAGUCCCUGAGGAUGGCUCUGGAGAUUUCGGUUGAGAAAACGUCAGCGGCGCUCUGUUGGAGCAGCGACUGCAGUGAUGGCCAUUCAAUCCUACUUCACAGGUGUCGAAACGCAACUUGGCCUCCCUGUGCUCAUGAAGUGGAAUUUCGCGUUCUCGCCAAUCCUCCUCUGCUUUUAUUGGUACCGCAGUCUCGUCUGGCGCUCUACUGAGAGCAUCAGCAAGCUGAUUUGAUUUUCCUCGCCGGUCUCAAAGGGGCUUGGAAAGGUGGUCCAUCCUGCACUUUGAGGACUUGCUCUACACCUUUGGCGAGGCCAGGCUUUUCUGAAAAGACGCCCUUGGUGUAGAAAUCUGCCACUACCUUUUUUAUGAGGCCACCAGUGUCAUUCUCUAUCCUGCUAAGACUGUACUGGACGAAUGGGUGCUCAACUAAAGGGUUGUCUGUCUUAAACCAACCUGUUGGCGUGACUGCCAUCUUUGCCUGACAGAGGAAAUCGCGUCCCAAUAAGAUUUGAUCUGAAUUGUCAGGAACUGCGAAGAAAUUCUGCACAAAACUCCCUGCAGGAGUGUGAAUCUUGAUAGACAUUCCGCCAAGUAGGUUUCCCCUGACUUGUGCGCUUAUUCAGGUCAUUUUGUCUUGCGGCUGCUGCGCCAGGUGGGCCAUUUGAUUUCCAUGGUAAAGCCAGCUGUCCACGACCUGCGGCACCUUGGACUGCAGGACGUUGUGGCUGGUUAAUGGCGCGAGGUUGGAAACCUCCUCUGGCGGGUUGUCCCUGAUACCAAGGACGAGGACCAGGGUGAGGCCCCCUGCCAAGUCUGGGGUUUAGAGAAUUUAGAGUGACCUGCUGACUCAUGGAUUGACUGCCAGGGCGGCCAUGCGACUGGACCAAUGGUGUUUGAGGCGUCUUUCUGACUUGGUAAGCGAACGCAGGCUCUGCAAACUCGGCUGCUGGAGGCGGAAGCCGGUAAGUGCGAGAUCUGUAUAUUUCAGCUUGGACCAAUUUGAGUGUCUCAUCAAGGUCAGCAAUUGUUGCAAAUGUCCUACCGACAAUAAAUCGCCGAUAUUCAGGGUGAAGCAAAGAAAUUGCCUUUUUAAUGAUGUCCCCUUCUCCGUAAUUGGAAUCAAUCUGUUUGCACAUUAAGUA